rnacentral:rRNA from 1 species
UACGUAGGGUGCGAGCGUUGUCCGGAAUUAUUGGGCGUAAAGGGCUCGUAGGCGGUUUGUCGCGUCGGGAGUGAAAACUCAGGGCUUAACCCUGAGCCUGCUUCCGAUACGGGCAGACUAGAGGUAUGCAGGGGAGAACGGAAUUCCUGGUGUAGCGGUGAAAUGCGCAGAUAUCAGGAGGAACACCCGUAGCGAAGGCGGCACUCUGGGCCGAUACUGACACUGAGGAGCGAAAGCGUGGGGAGCGAACAGG